rnacentral:lncRNA from 1 species
UGGACCUUAUUCCAUUGGCCUGUAUGUUUGACUUUGUGCCAGUUCCACAUUAUUUUGAUUACUGUUGCUUUGCAAUAUGUUUUGACAUCAGGGAGUGUGAGACCUCCAACUUUGUUCUUUUUCAAGAUUGUUUUGGCUAUUCAGGGUCUGCUGAAGAUUCUAGAUGAUUUUUAGCAUGGAAUUCUCUACUUCUGUGAAAAAUGCCAUUGGGAUUUUGAUAGAGAUUGCAUUGAAUCUACAGGUCACUCUGGGUGACCAUGAGAUGUCUUUCCAUUUAUUUGUGUCUUUAAUUUCUUAGUAAUGCUUUACAGCAGGGGUCCCCAACCCAUGGACCAGUAUUGGUCUGUGGCCUGUUAGGAACUGACUGCACAGCAGGAGGUGAGUUGUGGGCAAGCAAGCAUUACUGCCUGAGCUCUGCCUCCUGUCUGAUCAGCUGCAGCAUUGGAUUUUCAUAGGAGCUGGACCCUAUUGUGAACUGUGCAUGUGAGGGAUGUGGGUUGUACACUCUUUAUAAGAAUCUAAUACCUGAUGAUCUGAGGUGGAACAGUUUUAUCCUGAAACCAUCCCCCACUGCACUGUCCACCCUGGGUCCAUGGAAAAACUGUCUUCCAUGAAACCAGUCCCUGGUGCCAAAAAGGUUGGAAACUGCUGCCUUACAGUUUUCAAUGUGUAAGUCUUUUGUCUUAGUCUGUUCAGGCUGCUGUAACAAAAUACCUUAGACUGGGUAAUUCAUAGGUAACAGAAAUUUAUUGCUCACCAGUUUUGGAGGCUGGAAAGUCCAAUAUCAAGGAUUUGGUGCCUAGUGUCUUCUUCCUCACAGACGGCAUACUCUAGCUCUGUCCUCACAUGGUGGAAGGGGAGCUUCCCAGACCUCUAUUAAAGGGCACUAAUCCCAUUCAUGAGGGCAGAGCCCUCUUGACCUUAUCACCUCCCAAAGGCCUACUUCUUAAUACCACCACAUUGAGGAUUACAUUUCAACAUACAACAUACAUCAACAUACAAAUGUGGGGGGAGACACAUUCACACCAUCGCAUAUCUCCUUGGUUUAUUCCUAUUUUAUUCUUUUUGAUGCUAUUGUAAAUGGAAUUGUUUAAUUUUUUGGGAUCAUUCAUUGCUACUGUAUAGAAAUACAACUGAUUUUUGUGUGCUGAUUUUGUAUCCUGCAACUUUGCUGAAUUUAUGCUUCCUCUUGAUCACACUAUCCUCUGCUAGGGAAGAGCUAGGGUGAGCAAAAUCCCCAACUUUCCUAGCCUUUAGGUGCAGCCUUUUCCUGGCUUUGCAUUUGCCUUAGUGCUGCAGUUUCCCAGUUGGUUUCUAGAGUUCUCACAAAGAUAUUCUGGCCCAUAUAUUGUUAACUUAGUGUCUCUGGGAG